UUAAUCAGCUUCUGCCUCUAUACCCUUGGUCCCCAGAUAAUGAAAAUCACCGCAAAUGCCAAAGUAAGAAGGCACCACUUCCUUCCUUAUUUGAACCACAGUCCUCUAGAACUGGAGUAUCUGCUGACCUAAAUGAGUCCUUAAGCAAGAGAUCUCCUCACUGAUCACCACAGAACACAUGAGAGGGUGGUGGAAACUCUGCUUUGGUGAAAUAUUACUUAUUCAGAUUAUAAGUGCACCAGGAUGGAAUUAAAAGUGAAUUAGGAACUACGACCUAAGACCUAAUAAGACUGUGACAACAAGGACCUCUGUAGUCAGCUGAUGUCCUACAACAGAAGAAUGGAUGAAGAAAGUUGGUUGCAAUUCAUACAAUUAAGUAUCACUCAGUCAUUAAAAAAUCGCAUCUUGAAAUUUGCAGGCAAAUGGAUGAAACUCGAUAGAAGCAUCCUGAAUGAAGGAUCCCAGACCCAGGAAGACAAAUAUGGUUCCUACACCUCCAGUACAGUAAGAUAUAUGAUAUAUCUUCGAACAUCUGUUCUACACUGUGAGUCAGGCAUUUCGCUGAAUUACUCUGGAAGUCAGAAGCCAUGGUAGAAUGCUAUAAAACUCCUGGAAUGGGUCUUUCCAAUUUGAAUGAGUUCAUGAUGUGCACCUGUAGGAACUUUAAGAGCUUAUCAGAAGAGCACUCAUAUUUGGAUUUGCCAGUACCAAUGCAUCCAAGUGUGUGGUGAAGAGCUAAUGACUUUGCUUUCUCUAUUUCUCUGAAAAACAAAAUUUCACCAGAGUGAAUGACAGUUGUCAAGAACACAAUUUCAAUAUAGAUCGCUUGUCAAUAUAGAGGGAAAUACAAACCCUUGUGCAUUCUGAUGAGAAUGUAAGUUCAUUCAAUAUGGAAAUCAAUAUGGAAGAUACACAGAAAAAUAAUUGAAAUAGAACUAAAAUAUUUCCCUGCCAUAUUACUUCUGGAUAUUUGUCUGAAUCUAAUUUAAUGUAUCACACAGAUAUUGACACAUUUUUUACUGUAGCAUUGUUAACACUCAUUAAUUUAUAGAACUAUCUACAUACCUGUUGGCAGAGAAAGAAAGAAAAUGUGCUACAUAGACAAAAUGGAAUUUCAUUCAGUGAUUAGAAAGAAUAAAACUCAUUUGGAAAAAAUAGCAGAAGAUGGAGACUCAGAAAGAAAAAUUGUGCAUCUGCUUUGAGAUUACACCUUACUCCAGCCAGAAUAGUCAAGAUUAAUAAUACAAAUGACAGCAGAUUUCAGUGAGCAUCCUGGGGAAGUAGAACACAUACCCAUUGCUGGUGAGAGUGCAAACUGGUACCUGCACUACGGAAAUAAGUGUGGUUUUCUCCAAAAGCAGAAAAUUUAUUUACCACAAGAUACAGGUAUUGUGGUAUUCAUGGGCAUAAAUCCCAAAGACCCUAUACCUUGCUUCUUGCUAUUCCAUGUUUAUUGCAACUCAAUGUUACUCCUGCUGUUUAUUGCCCUCAAUUUUAGAUUCUGGGUUCUAUUCAGAAGGAGAUGCAGAAAUAUUACAGGUUUCAUAGAUGGUGAAUGACUCCAAAAAAGAGUAUUUUCCAGACAAAAGAGACCGGUGAAAACUCAGAGACUGAAAUAACACAUGUAAGACCUGAAACAAGUAGAAAACAAAAUCCCAGAAUUGAGAAUGAGAAGUGAACAAAAAUAUCCAACCCCUAGCCAAGAAGCUAUUUGCAAUUUGACACCUAUGAAGGAAAAUAAGUUUUUCCAUGAAGACAUUGGGUAUAUUAACCACACUCCAAGGCAGACACCAUGAUCAGUAAUAGGUGUGUUGGUUAACAGAAAAUGGACUCCAUAUUUUGUGUGUGCAUUCUUUUGAGUUUCUGUAUUGUUUUGUUUUGAUGUUUUUGUCCCUUUUGGUGUAUUUUUAUUUUGAAUUUUGGUUUUGUUUCUGAGAGAAAGAACAUGAAUUAGAGUGAGUACAAAGUAGGGAGGAUCUGAUAGGACUCUGAAGAGGAG